UCCGGUUGAUCCUGCCGGACCCGACUGCUAUCAGAGUGGGACUAAGCCAUGCGAGUCAACGCAGCAAUGCGUGGCAUACGGCUCAGUAACACGUAGUCAACAUGCCCAGGGGACGUGGAUAACCUCGGGAAACUGAGGAUAAACCGCGAUAGGCCAAGGUUUCUGGAAUGGAUCAUGGCUGAAACCUAUAUGGCCCCUGGAUUGGACUGCGGCCGAUCAGGCUGUUGGUGAGGUAAUGGCCCACCAAACCUGUAACCGGUACGGGCUCUGAGAGGAGGAGCCCGGAGAUGGGCACUGAGACAAGGGCCCAGGCCCUAUGGGGCGCAGCAGGCGCGAAACCUCUGCAAUAGGCGAAAGCUUGACAGGGUUACUCUGAGUGAUGUCCGCUAAGGGCAUCUUUUGGCACUUCUAAAAAUAGUGUAGAAUAAGGGGUGGGCAAGUCUGGUGUCAGCCGCCGCGGUGAUACCAGCACCCCGAGUGGUCGGGACGAUUAUUGGGCCUAAAGCAUCCGUAGCCGGUUCUGCAAGUCUUCCGUUAAAUCCACCUGCUCAACAGAUGGGCUGCGGAGGAUACUACAGGGCUAGGAGGCGGGAGAGGCAAGCGGUACUCAGUGGGUAGGGGUAAAAUCCUCUGAUCCACUGAAGACCACCAGUGGCGAAGGCGGCUUGCCAGAACGCGCUCGACGGUGAGGGAUGAAAGCUGGGGGAGCAAACCGGAUUAGAUACCCGGGUAGUCCCAGCUGUAAACGAUGCAGACUCGGUGAUGGGUUGGCUUCGAGCCAACCCAGUGCCGCAGGGAAGCCGUUAAGUCUGCCGCCUGGGGAGUACGGUCGCAAGACUGAAACUUAAAGGAAUUGGCGGGGGAGCACCACAAGGGGUGAAGCCUGCGGUUCAAUUGGAGUCAACGCCGGAAAUCUUACCGGGAGCGACAGCAGAGUGAAGGUCAAGCUGAAGACUUUACCAGACAAGCUGAGAGGAGGUGCAUGGCCAA
rnacentral:rRNA from 1 species